rnacentral:rRNA from 1 species
UAGCGUAGGGGGCAAGCGUUGUUCGGAAUUACUGGGCGUAAAGGGCGCGUAGGCGGCACAGCAAGUCGGGAGUGAAAGCCCGGGGCUCAACCCCGGAAUGGCUUUCGAAACUGCUGAGCUAGAGUACAGAAGGGGCAACCGGAAUUCCCAGUGUAGCGGUGAAAUGCGUAGAUAUUGGGGAAGAACACCUGAGGCGAAGGCGGGUUGCUGGGCUGAUACUGACGCUGAGGCGCGAAAGCCAGGGGAGCGAAACGGG